CUCUUCACCCACAGGGCUGUCAUUUCUCCAUGAUUGGUCAAGGAGGAUUUGCCCAUGGUAAAGCUGUGCUGACUGGCUCCUGAUUACUUUCUUGCUAACCAUAUGUUUGGAAAUGGACUCCAAGAGAAUGUGUUCCAUGAUUUCUCCAGGGACUAAGUAGGUGACUGAAGUACUGACUUUCUUUGACUCCAAAGAGCAUGAUCCAAAAAGCAUGUUGAAAGACCAAAUCAAUGGAAUCAAAAAGGACAAGUAAUGUAUUUCCACAUACCAGAAGUAUGAUCAUCCAGAAUUCCCUGCAGAGUUCCUUUCAUAACCCAAUUUUGAAAUCUUUUGUGAAGAAUAUGUGCACCAUUUAACCCAUUUUGUCCUAGGCUUCAGGGAAACAAAACAUUUUGAAAUUGAGGGGUAUGUAACCUGACAGCACACAGGCAAGAAAUUGGAUGAUGGUAUUGGCCUUGGAGGUCAUCUGUAUCUUGUGCCUAGGGGAAGAACCCAGAAGAGACCCCUCUGAUAUCCAGGUGGACAAAAAAAAAAAAAAAAUAAGGCUGAAAAGAACUUUCUCCUAGAACUGAAGUUGCACUGUUUUGUGUUCUGGUGAUCAAGGAAGAAACAGCAACAAUAGUGACAAGUCACAUCAUGCAGAUAAAUUUAAAAGCAAUUUUCAGUGGAAGUAGAAGAGGAAGGGGUAAGGGAUUAUUAAGAGAGAUUAAUCACAAAGAGAUGUUAUGCUGUCCCUCAUUUGGGCCCAGGACUGUAUUUAUAUACGUGUAUGUGAUAAACAAAUCUUAAGCUGAAAAUUGUAAUGUGAUUUCUCAGAACAUCCUUUGAUGUUAGAUACAAGCUGAAAAAUAAUCUUCACUUGUAAAUCCGUGUCACUGAGUUUAUCAAAAAUGUACACUGAAAUAAGAAGGCUUAGAGUUAAAAAUAAAAA